GAGUAGGCGCGUUAAGGAUUGAAACGACAUCCUUUUCUUUGUCUAUAUAAAUAGGCGUCAUUGCGAGGUACGAAGCAAUCUGUUAUAAUUAAGAGAUUGCCACAGUUUACAAAAAAGUAAACUUCACAAUGACAAAAAAAAAGAAAAGAUAUAGUGGAAAGCCUGUUAAAAC
rnacentral:sRNA from 1 species